AAUUGCGAUCUGACACCAAAAAACGGUAACGGAAGGGAUGUAGAUGAUAGAAAAAUGAAAAGAUGAAAAAUGGCCGUGAAAGGCUUGACGGAGCUCCUAAAUCCCGCCUCGUCUUAUACUUUUAAUAAAAAAAACAGUGUUUGAAGGGAGCUUUUGAGACAUUUUUGGGGAAAAAAGUUUAAGAAAAGUUGAUCUGAACUGAUCCUGUAGAGGACCGAUUAGGCUCCAAUGAAGGGAACAAAAAAUUGUAAAAAUUGUUACCAAACAAUAUUCUAGAUUUAUUUGAAAGUACAACUUAUAAUCUUAGGGACUCUAA